GACGAAGGUGGCGAGCGUUGUUCGGAAUCACUGGGCAUAAAGCGCACGUAGGCGGUGCCGUAAGUCGGAUGUGAAAUCCCUCGGCCUAACCGAGGAACUGCGUUCGAUACUGCGGUGCUUGAGGAUCAGAGGGGUGCAUGGAAUUUCCGGUGGAGCGGUGAAAUGCGUUGAUAUCGGAAGGAACUCCGGCGGCGAAAGCGAUGCACUGGCUGAUUUCUGACGCUGAGGUGCGAAAGCCAGGGGAGCAAACGGG
rnacentral:rRNA from 1 species